AACCAUCAGGGACAAGAUCAUUCCGCAUGCAGUCUCAUGGUUUACAGGGGAGGCUAUUCAAGGAGAAGAGUUUGAAGAUCUAGAAGAGGAGGAUGAGGAUGAAGAUAUUGACGAGGAUGAGGAUGAAGAUGAGGACGAGGACGAAGAAGAGGAAGACGAGGAUGAAGAGGAAGACACAACAAGCAAGAGUAAAAAGAAGGUGAGAUUCUGUUUGAUAUUUGGGUAUUUCUAUAUGCUUAUUAUCUCACAGCUUGAUAAUUCUGAUUAGAGCUGAACUAAUUUCUAUUCAUAUUUCAUGAACUUUGGGAAUUCACUGCAGUCAUCCGGACAGAAGGUAUGGUGAUUCCCUUUAUACAUAUACUUUUACUUGGUUCACUUUUCAUACCAACUGGAUUUUGUCUUUGAUAUCCUAAAUAUACUGUCGUUUGGUAAUUUACAGAAGGCUGCCAGAGCAGUGGCUGGGGAUGGCCAACAGGGAGAGAGGCCUCCGGAGUGCAAGCAACAGUGAUGCAUUGCUUGAUCGCAAUCACAAGAGUCUGAAGCGGCUCAUCAUCAAUUGAGGGAGUAUGGGGGGUGAAGUGUUUGCAGUUUUGGUCGGUCUAGUUUGUUUCUCGUCUGGUAUGUGGGGUGAUUGAUUGAGGGGAAAUUUCUAUUGUGGUAUAGUCGUUCGUUUGAUUGGGGAGGUGUGGAUUAUGUGUCAACACCGUGAGCAGGGAAAAGCUCAGAGCAUGUCUAGGGAACUUGAAAAUGAUAGCAAAUCAUGUGUUUAAAGUCGUCUGCUUUUAGGAUCUCCGUAUCUUCAAUUUUGUUCCAACGAAAUGUCUCCUUAGUGCUAUUGUAUUUGUGAUCGUCGGACUGCUGAUUAUUUGGUAUUAAAAAGUCGAUUCAUAGUAUUUCUUUCUGAAUCUCUCCUCUGGACUCCACCUCUGCUGUUGGAUUUGAGCAAAUCAUGGCUCCAAUCUUUGCCUGCCCUCUGAUAAUGUUCUCUUGGGUAUGGAGUGCUGAAAAUUCAAAUCAUGCUGAUGCCAAGGUGGGCAAGAACAUGGUAUAUUCAAUAUGAUGACAUUAUGGGCAAGAGCAUGAUUUAUUCAAUGUGAUGACAUUAUUAUGGACACUUCGAAGGCUUUAUAUCUUGGCUGCCCUGUCUGUUCGGAGGGUGAAAAAUGAUGACCCAAAAGUNNNNNNNNNNNNNNNNNNNNNNNNNNNNNNNNNNNNNNNNNNNNNNNNNNNNNNNNNNNNNNNNNNNNNNNNNNNNNNNNNNNNNNNNNNNNNNNNNNNNUUAUACUGUUUACCAAACGUGUUUCUAGUCAUUUUUUAUUCCUAGAACAAGUUUACCAAACGGCUUUUUUUGUUCAAAAAUUGUUCCUCGGAACAUAAAAACUUUUUUCUAUUUCUGUUUCCAGGAACAAUUUUUAAACCGAAACGUUACCAAUCGCACCCGUAAAUGUCAUCUAAUUUUAGUAAAACUCGUGCAUGGUUGUGUUCUUUUGUUCUAUUUAUGAACAAAAAUUUUGUUUUUUUGUUCUCGGGAACCAAAAAAAAAUAGAAACACGUUUAUUUGCGUUUUUGUUCAAAAUCUAUUUUUUUUGUUCUCGGAACAAAAUUGGAACAGAAAUAAGAAACAAAAAAAUUUUAUUUUUUUUGUUUCGAAAACACUUUUGAAGAACAAAUUUUAUCUCUCCUUCUUUUCUUCUCUUUUUUUUCUUCUUAUUUUCCUCUUCUUUUUUCUUUGGCCAGUCGCCGACCUCGGCCAUGGCCGGCGACCGGCCGUCAAGGGCCAGUGACCUCGCCGGAGCGUUGCCGGCCCCCAACGAGGCCAAGCCUCGCCAAGGGCAGGUGACGCUCGGCCGGUCGCCAGCCUCAGCAUGGUUGACAACAGGCCAAAAAAAGAAAAAAAUAAAAAAGGAAAAAUAAAAUAAAAAUAUUAAAAAAUUAAAAUAAACAAAAAAAGAAUAUAAAUUUACCAAAUGUGCUUCUAUUCAUUUUUUAUUCCCGGAACAAGUUUACCAAACGCAUCCGGAACAAUCUUUGAACAAAAAUACAAACAAAUACACCCUUAGAAAUUCAAGAAGAGCACGAUGCUCUUGUGUUUUGUGUAGCUGUUUUUCCUUUCUCAUGGUAAAUUAUCUCAAGUUAUGGCUCCCCCAAAACUCUGCCUCAUCUUCUUGCCCUUCUGGAAAAUUCCCUUUUCCAUGAACGCCCGUAACACUUUGUUUCUAUAUGCAAAAUAUAAUUGCCCUUCCGGGCAAUUGAUUCCAGACAGAACCCCGAGGGAGGGAAGGAGCGACCUCCUUCCUUCUCCAAACAGCAACCAAAGUGGGAAUUGCCCCUCGCCUGUUGGACCGAAAUGGGGUUGAGUCAAGGUCGGCCAGCUCUACACAUAGUCAAAAACAACAGGUCAUAAAAAGGCCAAAGAUGAUAAAAUAUUCACCGAUCGAAUGCCAUCUCUUUAUUCAAAAGGAGAUGCGAUAUCUAAGGUCAUUACCCAAUUCGUCAUAUGUCAGCCCAACGGAACGCUUUCGUCAUUGGCCUUCAUUCCUUAAGUAUUGAAUGUCGUAUCUUCAAUAGGUAUAAUAACAAUACUACUAGGAGCUUCUUCAGCUCUUGCUCGAAGAGGUGUAUUCAAUCUAGGUUAUAUGUUUACCCAAAAAAAAAAACUGGGUUAUAUGAUGCUAACUCUAGAUAUGGGAUCUUAUCAAGUCACUAGAAACAUUUUGAAACAUUUUAAAAUACUCUUUAAUCCCCGAAUUUGGCCAAAACACGCCCUAUCAAUUUCGUCUGAUUUAGAAUGGCAAGUCAUAUAAUUACCAUCAUCUUUUUUAGCAAAUAAAAGUAUACUAUGAGGGCAUCAUCUUGUAUCAAUCAACUGCCUCAAUUACAUAUAGUUGCUAGAUAAUGCCGCCAUUAUUUUUUGAACAAUUCAAAAAAAAAAUCUAUGAAGUUAAUUUUUUUUAUUUAUUUAUGAAUGUUAGCUUUCCUUCUGAAUGAAUACAACAUUUAGAUUUUUUUUUACCCAAAGCAAAAUGGGUUUCUAAGAAUAUCUUCACACUCGUGAACGGCUGUGGUAGGUAUGUGCCCAUUACGAAGGAGGUGCAUGACAACCCAAAAUUUCUGUUCCAGAAAUAGUUUUUCUGUUCCAGACCUAUUUCCUGUUCUAUACCUGUUUCUGGAAGAGAAAUCCGUUUGAUAAACCUAUUCAGUUUUUCUAUUUCUGGAAUAGAUUUCUAUUUCAGAAAUAGGUUUGAAAGAGAAAUCAGAAGCUAAAAUUUUCUACUUCUAAUUUCUGGAAGAGAAAUCAGAAAUAAUUUCUCUCACUAAACCCUAAUUUCGGUGAGUCCUCCCUCAUCUCCUUUACGUCUUUGCCUCCUCGUCUUCCUUUGCCUCUCCUCAUUUUAUUAAAAAUAAAAAUAAAUAAAAAUAAAUAUAUUCAUUUUAUUCUUUUAAAAAUAAAAAUAAAUUUAUUAAAAUAAAUAAAUUAUUUUUAUUUAUCAUUUUAUUUUUAGUUUAGUAAAAAUAAAUUUAUUAAAUUUGUUGAAAAUAAUUUAUUUAUGAUAAAUAAAAAUAAAUCAUUUUUAUUUUCCUUGAGUGUUUUGCCAAAUAAAAUUAUUUUUAUUUUUUAUUUUCAUUCAUUUUAAAAUAAAAUUAUUCGUAAAAUAAAAUAAAAUAAAAUAGAAUAAAUAAAAUAAAUUUAUUUUUAUAUUUUUAUUUUAUUUUUUAUGAUUUAUUUUAUUUUAUUCAUUAUUUUUUUGUUACUAAAUCAUUUUUAUUUUUAUUUUUUAUAUUAAAGGUCGUCGGUUGUCGCCGCCGUCGUUCGAAAAGAAGAAAUUUUGUGUCGUUAUCAAACGAAUUUCUAUUUUUAGAGUAGAAAUUUUGUGUUGUUAUCAAACUGUUAUUUUUGCUUAGCAACUCUUCUAGAAAUAGAAAUAGAAAAAUCUAUUUCUGUUCCAGAAACUAUUUAUGGAAUAUAAUGGUUGUCAUGCGCGCCCUAAGGAAUUUCUUUAUGCACCCAGCAAGAAAUUGGUUGCAACCGCCUUCUUAGGUGGGUUUCAAAGAAUUCAUGUCAUCAUAUAAAAAGUUAAGAGUUAUGGCACAUUUGGUAACAAGUUCCCGGGAACAAAUUCUGAUCAGAAAUUUUUUUUUUUAUUUUGUUAUUGGAAACAAUUUCUAAGGGUGCGCAUGACAAAAUUUCUGGAACAGAAAUUAAUUUCUGGCCAGAAAUUGAUUUCUCAAUUUCUAUUUCAGAAACUGAGAAGCUAAAAAUUUUAGCUUCUGAUUUCUUCUUCAAAUCUAUUUCUAGAAUAGAAAUCUAUUUCAGAAAUAGAGAAAUCAAAUUGUAUUAUCAAAUGGAUUUAUGUUCCAAACCUGUUCUGGGGAACAAAGAAACAGAGAAAUCAAGAAACAAAAAUUUUAUCAUGCGCAGCCUAAGUAUUUUAAACCAUUUGGUAACUGUCCAAAAUUUCUGAUUCUAGAAUAAAAUUGUGUUUGGUACCGUGCUCAUUGAUUCUGUUCCAAAUUAAUUUCUUUUAAUUUUUAAAUAUUUUUUACUUUUUUACUUUUUUUUUCCUUUUCUUUUUUUCAUUUUGCUCCUAUUCUACUUCUUCUUCAAGUGGCUAGUCGCCGGACCAACAACCGGCCAAACAAGGGCCGACGACCUCACUAGAGUGUCGCCAACCCUCGUCAGCCGAGUCUCGCUGGCAAUUGGGCGAGGCUGGCCAAGCCUUGAUGGGGUUGGGCGAGCCUCGCGGGGGCUAGGUGAGCCUUACCGGUGGUUGGGCUUGCCUCCAGUGAGCUCGCCAGACCUCGCCUUGGCCUAGUGAGCUCGCCAGACCGGUUACCGGUGACCAACGGCGGCGAUGGAUAGCAACUGCAGGAUGGUAGUCGAUGAAGAAGAAUAAAAGAAAAGAAGAAUAAGAGAAAAUGGAAUAAGAAGAGUUGGUUUUGAUUCUUAGAUUUGUUUUCGGAACAAUAAUCAACUUUUUUUUUUAUUCUUGAUUUUGUUCCAAAUCUACUUCCGGGAACAAAAAAAAAAAGAAAUUUAUUCCCGGAAACAAAAUUUUUACCAAACACGAUUCUGUUCCCAAACUGCUAUAGGGAACAAAAAUCAUAAUCAGACACUAUUUGGAUAGUUACCAAACAGGCCCUAAGUCUCUUUCUUUCGAAUUCAAAAUCCAACUUUUCUAAUAUCUCCUUUUCACAUGGACUAGGACUUUUUUCCCCAUUUUUGUCAAAGACCAAGACUUUUUUUGUCCACAAUCGAAGACUAAGACUUAGAAAGUUAGAAAAGCACACCCUGGCGGGUGGCGCACUAUCAUCCUUUUUUGAUCCCCUUUUAAAAAUACUAUAUGUCCCAAAGUAGCCCAUAAUCUAUUAAAUUCGUAAUUUAUAAGUAAGGGACUAUUUUCAUAUAUAUUCAUUAUUCUGCAAGUGUUGCACACUAUACAACAUUAUAUUUGGCAUUGCCCUUAGAUAUCGAUGGAAUUCUGUAUGUGCUUAUCCUAGCUUUAUGCAACCUCCUUUCGAUAAAAAGUUCUCUCUACUAACUCUUCUUGAGUGGUUGGAUAAGAUAGAUGAAUUGGAGACGUGAAGAGAGCUCACGGAGCAAGCUCUUUCUACUACCAGUCAUUGGAGGGGCUUUAAUCAUCAAGCUCGAGAAUAUGUUGUUUUUAAGAUCAUUCAGGACGCGUUUGAUAACGAUUAUGUUCUCAGUAAUAGAUUCUGAUAAGAAAUGAUUCUUUUUUAUUCUAUUUCCAUGAAUAAUUUAUAAGCAUUUUAAGUCAUUUAGUAACUGUCCAAAAUUUUCUGAUUAUGGAAUAAAAUUAUAUUUGGUAUCGUGCUCAUUGAUUAUAUUUCAAAUCAAUUUCUUUUAAUUUUUAAAUAAUUUUUUUUACUUUUAACUUUUUCUUUUCUUUUCUUUUUUUUUCAUUUCUCUCCUAUUCUUCUUCUUCUUCAAUUGGCCGGCAACCUCAUCGAAGCGUCGCCAACCCCUCGGUGAGGCUCGCCCUCAUCGGCCGAGCCUCACCGGGGCUGGGCGAGGCCCGCUUAGCCAUCGGUGAGGGUCUCCUAGCCUCGCCGAGGCUCGGCCUUGCCCGUGGCUAGGCUUGCCUUCAGCGAGCUCACCGAACCUUGCCUUAGCCUGGUGAGCCUCUGGCAAGCUCACCAGAUAGGUUGCCGGCGACCAGCGGACGGCGACCGACAGCAACCGUAAGAUGGCGAUCGCUGAAGAAAAGGAAAAUAGAAGAAGAAUAGUUGAUUUUGAUUCUUAGAAUUGUUUCUGGAAUAAGAAUCAACUUUUUUUUUAUUAUUCUUAAUUCUGUUCCAAAUUUACUUCUAGGAACAAAAAAAAAAAAUAGAAAUUUGUUCCUGGGAACAAAAAUUUUAUCAAACACGAUUCUGUUCUCAAACUGCUUCCGAAAACAAAAUAUCAAAAUCAAAUACUAUUUAGAUGGUUACCAAACAAGUCCUUAAUAUUAAGAAAAACUUCAAAUUGAUAUAUUUAUGAUAAAUUUAACUCAAAUUAAUUUUUGAGUUAUCAACAGCUUCGAACUAAUGUAUAUGUGAUAGAUUUAUUUCAAACUAAUUUUUUAUUAUUAAAAACCCCAAAUUUGUAGAUUAAUAACAAAUUUGCCCCAAACUGCUAAAGAUUUUCAUGUGAACUUAUUAUGUCAAAUGAGUUAUUGUCAUAUAUUAUUCAGCUUGGCAAUUUCAUGGUAAAAUUUGACGGAAGCUAAUGGAGGGCAAUUAUGUUAUGAGUGUAUUAGUUUAUAAUUUUUCAUGAUAUUAACCAAAAAUUUAAGCUAUUGCAAUAGUAUUGAAUUAAGUGGAAAUAGCAUGAAAUUAAAUAAAUGUAUUAAGGUAACAGCACUUACACCAAUAGAGACACCAUAUGUAGCAAGUUUAGUCUUUUUAAUGGGUUGUGCACGAUGUAUUAAGGUAACAUCACUUACACCAGUAGAGACAUCAUAUGUAGCAAGUUUAGUCUUUUUAAUGGGUUAUGCGCGAUGUCCUUAUAGAAUUCAACUUUGCAUAUUGCUUUAUUUGAAUCCUAUUUGUUGUGGGGAAGAUUCAAACAUACCAACUGCUUUGUCAAUAAACGUAGAGAGAUGACUCUAAUUCUAUCUAACUUGUAUGCCAAGUUUCAAACUUGACUAAGCUCCAUAUGUGGUUCAUAUGGGGUUAACGCCAAAGAAAUUUUAUAUUUAUGGUGAAAUAGAAUAUGAGGUUAAUGGUACAUUCUUUUGGUAAAAUCUAUAUAUUACUUACCUUUACCCAAAAAAAAGAAAAGAAAAAAAGAAUACGUGGUUAAUGAAUGUGACUUUUUUAAAUUUAGAUAAUUUAGUUUUCAAAAUUAAUUAUAAAGACACUUUGAUGUUAAAACAUCAUAGAUGUGUUUUUAAAAAAUGUGUGGUUUUAAUGUGAGUAAAUUUAUAAACAUUUUUGUUAUCAUGAACUUUUAAAUUUAGAAUCAUUAUUGUUCUAAGAUAUAAUUAAGUUGGUAGUUCAUCUCUAGAUUUAUCAUUAAUAAUUGUUCAUCUUUUCUAAAAGGGUUAGUACCAUGAAAAACUCCAAAAUUAUACACCUGUGACAAAUUUAUUUCAAACUAUUUUUUUAAAUUAUUUUUUUGACCACCAAAAACUCCACACUGGUACCCAUUUGACAAAUUUAUCAUAAACUGAUACACUUAUGAUAAAUUUACCAUAUGUUAGUUUUUAUUAAAUUUUACUAUUAAAUUAUUAAGUUGAAUGACACGUGACAAUUAGCUGGUGUAUUAGUUUGAAAUUUUACUUUCUGUUUGUUACAGUGAUUUUCAUGGUAUUGAUUCAAUUUAAUGGAGGGUAUAUUUGUCACAAAUGUACUAGUUUGAGGUUUUUAGGGUCGAAUAAAUUAGCUUGGGAUAAAUUUGUCGCAGGUAUAUCAGUUUGAGGUUUUUUAUGCUCAAUUGGGAUAAAUUUGUCAUAAAUAUACCGCUUUGAGAUUUUUUAUAGUUCAAAAAAUAAUUUUGAGUAAAUUUCUUAUACAUGUGUUAGUUUGGGAUUUUUCAGGGAUUAACCAUUUCUAAAAUGAAUUUUAUUUCCUUUGUGAAAGAAAAUUUCAAUCAUAUGGUUGAAUUAUUUGAUAACAUUUAAUUUUUGAAUGAGUGCCACAACAACAUUAAAAGAUCCUUUGGAAAACUAUUAUUUUGAAAGUUACUUCGAUGUGUAAUUAAAAUUAUAUUCACAAUAUGAAAAGUAAGUUUGCUCCUUUAAGUAAUUUUUAAUUCCUAGACUUAUUGCUAAUUUCUUGACUUAAGAAUAAUUUAUAUCUAUCCAAAAUUACUUACUACCUACGAACAUAUUGGGUAAAUUGAAAAAUAUAACGUCAAAUAACUUUUUCACAUCGGUUUGUAAUUUAUUAGGAAUAUAAAAAUAUCUUCUUUUGCUUGUCCAUAAGUUUGACAAGUAGUCAAUAGACUAUAUAAUUAGAAGAAACUUAUAGUAGGCAAUAAAGUUUCUAAAUGUGAAGUAAUAUUUCAACUCUAGAAGUAAUUUUCAUGAAACAAGUUUCUACUAAUUUUGAAUGCAAAAUUAACAAUUUGUUAAGGAUCUUACUCAUAAAAUCUGCAAAGCAUGUGAUAAAAAAAAAUCGUUCGUUUUGAGCUAACAAGCUAGGCUCGAUCCAACACCAAGAGCCCCGCCCGAAUUGAACUGAUAUGGUCCAAUUACGUUGGGGUUUGGCCUAGUCCAAACUUUCCAAAAAUAAAUAUAUUUUUUUAGAAAAAAACCUGUGUGACAUAUUAUAUUUUACAAGAAGAUUAAGUCGUAUCAAAUAAAAAUAGCACUUACAAAUUUACAAACUUUACUCAGAAUUCCGAUUUUAAUAGGCUGUAAUUUGGUAAGAUUUCGAAAGUUUUUUCAAAGCCCCCACUAUGUUGUAUUGGCCGCGCUAGGCCGUCUUCAGCUUUAAACUCAGUUGCUUAUGUAUAUUUCUAAUUAGUUUCCUUUAAACCUAGUUCCUUAUACUUCCUGAUUUUCAACUUUUUUUUUUUUGGUAAGGACUGAUCUUCAACUUUUUGAUAGUUGAUAAUUUCAAAUGAUCUAUGAAAUACUUAUUUGGAUGAUACAAACUUAAUUUUCGAUAUAUGUAUCGAAUAUAGACGAUAGUUUAAAAAGGACCAGUUAUCUAUACUCAUAAAAUGCAAAAUAUUAAAGUGUAACAAAAUCCAUUAAUCACCAUCUAUAUCGUUCUUCUAAAAGAAAACAUAAGUUAUGAUAUUUUAGUUUUCCUCUCAAACUAUCUAUUACUCAUCCAAAAAAAAAUAAAAAAUGACGUGCCUGUCAGAAAAUAUCGCAUAAACAAAAAAGAAGCAAAAUUUAAUUGCCAUCUAAUUUUAAUAAAACUCUUUAAAAUUCAAGAAGAGCGAGAUGCUCUUAUUUUUUGUAUAGCUGUUUUCCCUUUCUCAUAGUAAAUUAUCUCGAGUUAUGACCAAUGAACUUGUAAUUUCAUAAAUUUAAAGGAUAACAAUUAAUGACUUACACCCAUAUCGCCAUCCCAAUUUGUUGUUUCCAUUUCAUUUUGUUGCUCCUUUCUAGAAACUUAAUUUUGUCAUAAUUUAAUGAAAAAGCAACACCAAAAAAUGAGGGUGUUGUGAUUUUUUUUCACAUAUUAAUCAUGCACAAAAAUAAAAAAGAGUAGAAAUUAAAAAUUGUAAAUAUAUUGGUCAAUUUAGGGUGCGUUUGGUAACGUUCCUGUUCAAAAAUUAUUUCAUAGAACAGAAAUAGAAAAAACUAUUUCUGUUCCGAUGAACAAUUUUUUACCAAAAAAACGCAUUUGGUAAACUUGUUCUGAGAAUAAAAAAAGAACUGAAACACGUUUGGUAAUUUUAUUUUAUUUUUUGUUUAUUUAAUUUUUUAAUAAUUUUAUUUAAUUUUUCAUUUUUUUCAUUUUUUCUUCUUUUGGCCAGUCGUCGGCCUCGGCCAUGACCGGUGAUCGGCCGACAACGGUCAGUGGCCUCGCCGAGGGCCAGCGACGCUCCGGCAAGGUCGUUGGCCCUCGAUGGCCGGUCGCUGGUCAUGGCUGAGGCGAGCGACCGGCCAAGGAAAAAAGAAGAAGAAAAGAAAGAGAAGAAAAGAAAGAAGAGAGAGAAAAUUUAUUUCUCAAAAUUGUUUCAGAAAUAAUAAACAAGUUUUUUUUUAUUUUUUGUUUCUAUUUCAAAUUUGUUACCGGGAACAAAAAAAAUAAAUUUGGAACAAAAAAACAAAUAAACUUGUUUAUGUUCUUUUUUUGUUUCUAGAAAAAAAAUAAAAUUUUUGUUCAUAAACAGAAAAAAAGAACACAAACAAACACACCUUAGUUGAUCAGUAAAUUCUUUAAAAUUCAUUAACAACAACUCUAAUAAAAUCGCCGGGGGGUGGGAAUUGUAAAACACAAAAAGAGAAAGGGGGAGAAAUGGCGAAUGGAAGCGGAACCACUCCGUAAACCCCAGAACCCUCAUCAGUCGGGCCUCGACUUUCAACCCCGGAAGAGCGACCGCGACUGCAGCUCAGUUCGCCUUGCUAGCGAAGCGAAGCAAGGGAGGAGGAGGAGGAGGAGGAGGAGAAGGAAAGAAGAUGGUGGUUCGGAUCCGGUUGGCGAGGUUCGGGUGCAAGAACCGGCCCUUCUACCGGGUCAUGGCCGCCGACAGCCGAUCUCCUCGCGACGGCAAGCAUCUCGAAGUGCUGGGUUACUACAACCCCUUGCCCGGUAUACUCCCCCCUCUCUCUCUUUCCUCUUCUUUUCGUGUCUGGGUGACGGUGAAGCGAUGGUGGGUUCGUGGGUAGUGCUUGGAGUUCGCGGCGUGUGGGUUCGUUCGUCGAACGGUUGAUUGAAUUUGAUUGGGUUGGCGAGAAAGAGCGCCCGCCGGCGAUAUUCUUAGGUGGGUUCUGUCGGGUUUCGUCGGGUGGGUAAUGAGAGAAGUGUUGAGUAUCUGGGUUAGGAGGUACGAGCGAGCUGCGUGCGAUUGGUUUGGGUAGCGAAGGUCGGACCUCAUUGAUUGGGUGUCGAAACAGCAUGAAUCUGGAAGAAGAGAGAAAAAAAAAGAGCUGCGAAUCUUUUCAUUGCUAGAUUAGUCUUUUUUCCCCUUUGUUUCGAUUCGCUUGUGGUUGAGGUUCUUAGUUAUGUUCAUCAUAUUGUGUGGGCAUAGGGCAAGUGUUCGAUGAAAUUCCCUAAAGAAAUUUGACUUCCAACUUUCACCUCCUUUAAGUGUUCCGGUGGAACUUCUUGAACUCGACUCGCCAUCUCCCGCUCCCCUAUUACAAGUCCUGGCGGGGUCCAAUGCAUGGAAAAAUUAUGUCAUUUUGUUAUCUUUCGGUUGUUUGUAUCCGAUCACUAUGUUUUUGAUGAGUGGAAGUCGUUGCCCUUGAAGCAAAUAAAAAUUAGAGAAUGAGGACCAACCUAUGAAGAUUGGUAUCUUGUCAAUCCAUGUUUGUUUUUAGAUUUGAUGAUGAUGGGGAUGAUGACCAUUUGCUAAUUGCUCUGGAAUUUCUUGGGUAUGAGUAGGUCAAGAUGGUGGAAAGCGGAUGGGUCUCAAAUUUGACAGAGUGAAGUAAGUCCCCUCUAUCCAUUCGUUUUUGCUUUGUCAAUUGAUAUCUGUAUGUUUGAAGUAGUUGGUUUGAUCGCAAUCUAGAACCCUGCUGGAAUGGUUUGCACAUGAGGCAGUAAUGUUGCUGGAAUUCCUGGUGACGCCCAAUAGGCCUCAUUAGUCUUCUGCCUUUUUUCCUCUUUAUUGGGUGCAGUCAUUUAGUCCUCUAGCAUUGAGUAGCAGUGUGACCCUUAAUCUGGUUGAUUCUUUCAAGAGUUCUUGCAUAGCAAUAAUAACCUUUACUAUUUAGGUAACAGGUUCGUUCAUUUAUGUCCCCUACAAGCGCCGAAUGGCUUUUUGCCUCGUCAGAUGUUUUGAGCCGACGAAUGCAGCUUCUCUUCUUGACAAAUAGGAUGCACCUGUAGGUGCUUCCUUCCGUGUAUACUUAGAUUGGGCGAUUCUUACCCAGCCAUGACAUGCAUCUAACUGAGAUCCCCUCUCUCUGUCUUGUUUCUGAUAGUUUUGUGUAAGAAUUUAGAAAACCUAGGAAUUCAUAUCUAAAAAUGCCUUGCUCAGCUUCGAGAUUUCGAUGUGUUGCCUGGAGUAUUCACUCUGAGGCUGCUUUAAGGCUAAGGGGCAUAAGAAAUUCUUUUUGGUCAAAUGUAAGCUUUCCCUUCAUUGUGCAUCUUUGAGAUUUUAUGUUCUGAACUUGGUUAUUAGUAGGCAUGGAUGGCAAAUAGAUAUAUUGUUAAUUCCUAGUGAGGCCCAUGUGUGUGUGUCGUAAAUAUCCUCCAUUAUCUGACUUAAAUAAUAUUCUGGUUGUGUGGGGCUAAAAAGGGCGAAAGCUCUCUUAAUAGUUCUCCUGUUCCACAAUUCUCUGUAUCUACGUGCACAUAUGCUUGUGUUUUCUUUUGUUUUGUUUUGAUUGUCUUCUCUCUCUGUAAGUUUCCUUAAUUUCAUGCCAAUGUACUUGUUCGAUCAUGCUUGAUUAUAAUAUCUUCUGAUUCAUCUAGGUAUUGGCUUUCGGUUGGCGCUCAACCUUCGGACCCCGUCCAACGUAUUCUUUUCAGAGCUGGUCUCCUGCCUCCUCCACCCAUGGUGGCAAUGGGACGCAAGGGUGGGCCGCGGGACACACGUCCUGUUGAUCCACUUACUGGACGUGUCAUAAGUCCCGAGAAACAAGCUGUUCCCAGCAAAGCAGAUGAAUCCACCCCCGAAGAUGCAAAUGCUUGAGGUGGCAAGACUUACCCAGUGAAAAUCAGUCGCGGCAGUCUCAAUUACUUUCACUAUUCUAGAGUUUCCUUCAAAAAAUUUUGCAUAUCAUUUCACUUAGGAUCUGUGAGAGUCUGUUUUCUAAUUUUAAGGAUAGUUUUCUGUACAAAUUGACUGCUACCUGCUCCAGAAAGNNNNNNNNNNNNNNNNNNNNNNNNNNNNNNNNNNNNNNNNNNNNNNNNNNNNNNNNNNNNNNNNNNNNNNNNNNNNNNNNNNNNNNNNNNNNNNNNNNNNNNNNNNNNNNNNCUUUCCUUUUGUGAGGUGAACUGCUUGUCCUCCAUUCUUGCACGAGUCCCUGUCCCUACCCCGCUUACUUCUCUGUCGGUGCAAACGACGGUAGGUCCUGCGUUGGUGUCGUCGGGGUUCAGUCUUCUGUGGCUUCCUAUUUACCUCGGAUCUUAUGCGAUCUACGCCGCAAAGCGACAACGACGAUUCAUCCGUAGAUAAGGUCUACAGAAUUAGAGGCGUCUCCCUUUUGCUCUGUAAUGAAAAUGAUGCGGAGACGAUUGGCUGUUGCUAUCCUCUAGAGUUUUAAUGGGUGUCGGUUGUGCAAUCAAAUUGACAUCGGAGGACGUGUCCGGAGUCUGCAGGCUAUUAUGGAGAAUGCUAAAGAACAAUGGUCAUUUUUGUUUUUAACUUGGUUGCAGUCUUUUGAGUACUUUUGAAGAUGAAAUUGGAUGAAAAUAUUGACACAAAUGGUCCCUCAUGUUUGGCUUAAUAACAUGGCUUAAUAUGUUAUGUGGUCCUUGAAUUUUAAAGUUAUUCAACGUGAUUCUUGAAUUUUAUUCUAAUAUAAAAUGUUGUCCAUAAAUUUUUAAUCUAUUCAAUAUGAUCCAUAAAUUUUUUAUACUUACUUAAUCUAGCUCUCGGACUAUAUAUAUCAUUUACCCAAUUAGUCAUAAUAAUCUUACGUCACUGCUUACGUUUAACAUUCGUGUUAGUUUCUUAUUAAUGUGAAUAUCGGCCUAGUAAUGGAAAAUGAAUUUUUGGGAGGACUACUUACUGAUAAUGUGAAAAAAUGCCGAGAAUACAUUGAUCUGAUCCAUUUUAAAUAGUGAACUUGUGAAAUAGGGUCGUUGCUCUUCGUGUAUAUAUAGCGUAUAGGCAGACGGCUAAACGAGAAAUCGUUCUUUCAUGAAACACGAUAAUUGCUCUCGACAUAUAUAUAGCGUCCCAAGUUACAACCACCCAGGAAAUUCUUUUCGAAUUUUUGUCUUGUCGGUUCUUGUUCAUAUAAACAUAUGAUCUUCCGUUUGUUUUAGAUUGUGGAAAUUGGAGAACUUCACAAUGACCAUGUCGAGCAGUCAUGAGCCACAAAGGGCAAGCGGGCUUGGGACGACCGCAAUCGUGGCUCCGAGGACUGGUUGGACAACCGUGCCACAACGGGCAAGUGGGCUCGGGACGACUGCAAUCGUGGCUCUGGGACUGGUUGGACAACCAUGACCCUUGUGAACACUUGAUUUUUGACCUAAGUUUUGUUCGAACAUCCAUCCUCAAGGUGUUGAUCCAGGUAAGAACCCUAACCAAUGACCCUUCAAUUUACAUUUACCGGGCAACUAUCUAUACUUACUCGACUUAGGUUGAGAAGACGUGGGACUUUGGAUUCACAACAUGGGAAUAGCUAUGUCAUUGCACAGAGAACUUUUUGCAAUCUCUCAUAAAAGAUUUAGAUUUAUUGAAAGCCCCUAAAUUACAAAAAUCGCUCCGAAAAAAAAAUCAUUAUCACAAUACAAAUACCAGCAUAGAUUUUCGUCAUAUACAAGUAAAACAGAGUAAACCCUUUUUCUCCUCCUAUUUUCUUUUCUAGUAUUUUCAACCGAUUUUUGAGAGAUCAAGUUCAACAAAGCAAAAUUGAAAAAUGAAUGUUGGCAAAAUCUUUCAAAAAUUUACAAAAAUCACCUAAUUCCUUUACCAAGCGCAUUGCUUCAAUUAAUUAUUCGAGAUUUGGUUUACCUAUUCAAGCCUUCUUCAUUCGGCGAACAAAUCUUGUGAAUUGAUUUUUCAUUUAUUUAGAGACCCUUUAAUGGAAACAAAAAUCUACUCAUGGACUAGAACAGGAAUAUCGAGAAUGGAAAAUCUACGACCAAAUUGUGAAUAAAUGAAGGAAAAAAUCCCUCUUCCCCGAUUAUGGGUUUUCUAAAAUUAAUAAAAUUCCCCAAGCGGUCUUCAAGCCCAAUCCCCUCCAAAAGAAAUAAAAAUACCGAAAAAUAAAAGAAACCCAUCAGUAGAAGUAAAAAUCCAGAAUUCGACCCGAGAAUUAACAAAUAUACCAAAAUGAAAAUGAAAAAUCUGAAAAUUAAUAAAUGUACCUAAAAAGAAAAUGAAAAAUCAGAACGUAAUUAGAAGGGGAGUCCGCUUCACCGUUCCAUAAAUAGACCAGGUUGUAAUUAGGGUUUCUAGAGAGAGAGAGAGAGAGAAGAGAAGAAGAAGAAGAAGGAGGAGGAAGAGGGGGAGGAGAUAUAGGUUUAAUCAUUUAUAAGCGGGCCACGCUCGCCUCUCCUCUUCGCCCAAAUCCCUCUCUCUCUCUCUCUCUCUCUCUCCACCGCCCUCUCUCUCUCUCUCUAGCCCAAUUCCCAAAUCCUAGGGUUUAAGCUCCUCCGCCGGCGGCCGCCUCGCUCCUCCCCAAUUCAAGCCGCGCGCCGCCGCCAUGAGCAACGCGAAGGACAACUUCAACGUCGCCGAUCUCACCGCCGGUAAGGCUCGCCGGAACGAUCUCCGCCCUUUGUUUGUGUCGAGCUCGUGAUGUGACGAUGAUUGGUUUCCCCCCUUCCCUUCUUCUGUGCGUGCAGCUCUCAACGACGAGGAUCGAGCGGGCCUCGUGAAUGCUCUCAAGGUCAGUUUGAAGUGAAGUGGAAUUCCGCCCGCCCCCUUUCCCCUUUUCCUUUCGUGGGUUUACUUUAGUUAGGGCGAAAGGCGGGGACUUUAGUCUUGUCCGCUGCGGCGCUUCUCCGGGACGGUUGUCCGUGCUGUGGGGAAAGUUGCCUCUUUUGGGUUCCCUUUGGUUGCUUGGUUUGUGACUCGUCGGAUCGUGGCGAUUCGUGCCUCGGGCUUGAACUCGUGGCGGCUUGUGUUUUUCGGGUUUCGGCACCGGUGCUGACUUGUCUUUGUGGGGGGUGUUUUUGCAGGAUAAGCUGCAGACGUUGGCCGGGCAGCACUCGGAUGUGCUCGAGAGCCUCGCGCCCAAUGUCCGGAAGCGCGUGGAGGUCCUGAGGGAGAUCCAGGCAUGUUCCUCUUGUCGAUUGGGAGAAAAAAAAGAGAACUUGCUGUCUAAGUCUUGUUAUCUGCUGCUAAGAUUCGCUUCUUCUUGAGUUUACGCCUUUUACUGGUUGUUCUACUUUGUGAAUUAGCAUUUUCAUAUUGUUUAAGCCCUGCGAAGUACUUUCGAGUUCUUAGAUUGCUUAAUCGUGAGAUAAGAACAGAAAUGUGUGGGGACACAUGCGUAAUGUUUGUUGCCUCUAAUUAACGUAAAUUUUCUUUUGUGGAGGUAAUGGCCUUUAAAAGUUGUAUAAUUUUGAACAUUCCUUUUUCGUGAAUGAUUAAGUUGGUUUAAAAAAGAUGAUUUUGUUUUAAAAACUCUACCAGGUUACUUGUCUGUUGAUUUUUUCUAUUUGCAAGCAUUCAUGUUGUGAGGAGAUGUGAAUUGGCCCAAGUGGGUUUUACUGAACCUGAGCAUUUGAAAUGAACAGAGCCAGCAUGACGAACUGGAGGCAAAAUUCUUUGAGGAGAGAGCUGCACUGGAAGCGAAAUAUCAAAAGCUGUAUCAACCUCUGUACACAAAGGUAUUGUUUUCGUUUUCUACUUAUUGAUUCAUAUCCUCUCUCAGCUUUCUACAUAUUUAUAAUUAUCAUCUCUCAUACUCUUUUUUCUUAUGUGUUUGGGGUUGGGAUGCUGAAAUGCAGAGAUAUGAUAUUGUGAAUGGUGUUGUGGAAGUUGAAGGAGUUACUAAUGAGGCAGCAAAGGAGCAAGAGGAGGACAAAGCCGAUGAAGGUAUCUAGUUGAUGACCCUCCUACGUCAUUAUUUUCACUUGGUGCAAGUUAUAUGACAUGCCCACUUUUUUCUCUUUGCAGAGAAAGGAGUCCCUAAUUUCUGGCUUUCUGCUAUGAAAAACAAUGAAGUCUUAGCUGAGGAGGUGUGUGUAGAUUGCAAAUGCUUCUUUCAAGCACUGACACCAAAUAUUGACUACUUAUCUAACUAGAUUUAUCAUUUAACUUUUGUUGAUCAGAUCUCCGACCGAGACGAAGGCGCUCUCAAAUAUCUCAAAGAUAUUAAGUGGUGUAGAAUAGAUGAACCCAAAGGGUUUAAACUUGAGUUCUUCUUCGAUACAAACCCCUACUUCAAGAACUCUGUCUUGACGAAGAUCUAUCACAUGAUAGAUGAAGACGAACCUAUACUGGAGAAAGCAAUAGGGUAAGUGGCUUUUCUUUUUGUGUAGUGGAAGUAUGGUUUUCCUUUGGUUCUGAGAAGAACUCUUUUUAUCGUUUGUCUUCAGUUUGAUAUUCUAAUCUUUACAGAAACUAUUCGGUUCUUAUAGGACGGAGAUCGAAUGGUAUCCAGGAAAAAGCUUGACUCAGAAGCUCCUCAAGAAAAAGCCAAAGAAAGGGUCAAAGAAUGCGAAGCCUAUCACUAAAACAGAAAGUUGUGAAAGUUUCUUUAAUUUCUUCAGUCCACCUCAAGUCCCCGGAGAAGAUGAAGACAUUGAUGAAGAGACUGUAUGGCAGCAGAAUUGAUUAAGCAAUAUUUGCUGUAUUCUUCAUUUUCAUUAGGUUUAUUUGAUCUGUGCUAUUUCUUUUUCAGGCUGAGGAACUUCAAAAUCUGAUGGAACAAGAUUAUGAUAUUGGGUAGGUACCUCAUGACUUGUCCUAAUCCAAGAUGCUUGCAUGUCAUUUUAGCUUUCUUUGGUGGUAGCCAGCCUAUGUUAAUGGCAGUGAAUGAAAUGUGGUAUUCUUUGAUUUAUGCUUGCUUUGACAGUUCGAUUGCUUCCUGUGGUUGCUUCACACUUAUGUUUCUGACUUGUGUGCAUCUUGCAGGUCAACCAUCAGGGACANNNNNNNNNNNNNNNNNNNNNNNNNNNNNNNNNNNNNNNNNNNNNNNNNNNNNNNNNNNNNNNNNNNNNNNNNNNNNNNNNNNNNNNNNNNNNNNNNNNNGGGAGGCUAUCAAGGAGAAGAGUUUGAAGAUCUAGAAGAGGAGGAUGAGGAUGAAGAUAUUGACGAGGAUGAGGAUGAGGAUGAAGAUGAGGACGAGGACGAAGAAGAGGAAGACGAGGAUGAAGAGGAAGACACAACAAGCAAGAGUAAAAAGAAGGUGAG
rnacentral:lncRNA from 1 species